AGAGUUCCACUGGAACACCGUAUCCUACCGUAUAUGUUUACCUUGUAUCAUGAUAAUUGUUUCAUGCUAAAAUGUCAACAUGAAAUCCUGAACUAUGCCUGUGAUAUGCUCCAUACCUGUUACCUGACCAAUGUACUUAUAUCAUGAUACCUGUCUCAUGAUAAAUGUCUCAUACCAUGAUAAAUAUCUCAAAUUACUCGUACAAUGAUUAUCACCUCAUGAUAACACGCCAUUGUGUAACAUUGAACCAUGCAUAUGAUAUGCCCAACUUACUUGAUUUAUUUGAACUGUUAGAGUGUCUUGGAACCUCACUGGGCUGUGUAGCUCAUCCCACGUUGUGGUUUUCUUUUACAGGGUUCGAGACCAAGGGUGCUCGUGAGUAGUACUAGAUUGUUUUCUUUUGAAAACUUUAAGUUAUAUUAUAACGGAUGGCUAUUGUACCCUUUUCCGUUGGGUUGUAUUUAAGCUUGGAAGCUGCAUAAUUGUAAGUGUGAGAUAUUUGGAGUACUUUAAUUAUGUAUUGAAGUUACUUAAAGUAUUUCGAGCUUUUGAAUGAUGGAUUGUAGUGAGUCCUGGCGAGAGCUGGGCAGGCGUCCCGCGGAUACCCUUUGGUUCGCCUUAGGGAGAAGUGGGGGCUACAAUUGGUAUCAGAGCUUAGGCUUCAGAUUUUGUAGUGUAUCCUAGGCUUAAAUGUUUAGGAUGCCGGACUGUGGGACUAUUCUGAAAGUUAAAUGAUUGCUUGUAGUGAUGAAAUUUAGAGCCACUUCACGUGGUCUCUACAAAGGAGCAAGAUAGGGCCAAGUGGUGUUUGGUCCUUACUAUGUGAUUAAGUAAAGACUUAAGUGCCCUUCUAGAAAUGUAAGUUGUGAAUCAUGAAUGUUAUAGGUUGUAAAACCUUUAUCUUGAUAAUUGGAGGGAAUUUGAUAUGUAUGUUGGGUAGGAAUCUCGAAUGUGGUGAUUUACUCUUGGACCGGCCGGCUCGAGAUGUGAAUUAUCCUAUUUUGGAUUCUUGCCCGAGUACUUGGAGUGGAAAGCAACCAUAGGACUUUAUAUCUCCAUUUGUGGGGAAUAAGAAUGAAUCGAUAUUUCAUGUGAAUGGUUACAGGAAACCAAUAAUUGUUUGGUUAAGAUGGUACAAUAAUUAAGAGUGGAAGAUGGAAAAUAUCGUAACCCAAAAGAUCCUUGUGUUGGGAUUGAAAUCGAGCAUGUUAGGGAACGAGAAUCGUCUAGUUCCAAUUAAUCUAGUGAAUCUCUACUGGUGAUCUUUCAUAGUGAGACGAUGGGAGUAGAACUUAAGAGUUUGCGCCUUGGAGAUGAAUGUACUUGUGAUAAUCACUUGUUUAUUUUUGUUAUUGACUUUGACUUGGCAUGAACUUUACUUGGCCAUAAUUUGUGUUAUGAUUUAAUGAACUCUAGUUUGUGUUUACUUGCAUAGUGAUAAUGUUAUUUGUGAAAGUGUCUUCAUCCUCUUUAAAUGUUGCUACUGGUAUAUGAGUGUAGUUCAAUUUUAACUAAGUGUGAGGGUUAUGCAUGUGCGUAUAGAUUAGUUGUGGACAUGGAAACUAGAGGACAACGAAAGGGACGUCAACCUAGACAACCCCGAAAUGAAAGAGUAGCUAAUGGGUCCGAUAUCGAUCAAAACGUUGAGCUAAGUGCUGGGAGAGGAAAUGACCAGAUAGGACAAGUUUUAACUCGCAUGACGGAUAUCCUAGAGCUCUUGGUAGCUCAACAAGGUCAAGGUGUUGGACAAGGAAACCAACGUGGAAACCAAGAGAUAGGGGAGGAUCGAGCUUUAGAGCGGUUUCAGAAAUUCUCCCGCCCAAGUUUGCUGGAGGGCCUGAUCCAGAGGUGGCUGAGAAUUGGUUAGAAAUAUAAGAAAUAUAUUCGAUGCCUUGGAUUACACAGAGGAGAGACAAGUCACAUUUGCUGUAUUUCAACUUGAAGGAGCAGCCCGAGCAUGGUGGAAUGUUAUAAGAAACAAGUGGGAAAGAGAUCAAACUCCGAGAAUUUGGAUAAACUUCGUGCGUGAAUUUAAUGAGAAAUUUCUUCCUCCACUUGUCCAAGAAAAGAGAGAAGAUGAUUUUAUAAAGCUUCGUCAAGGAACUUUAAGCGUAGCUGAGUAUGAAACACGCUUUACGAAGUUAUCUACAUAUGCCCCAGAAUUGGUGGCUACUGAACGGAAGAGAAUAAGACGGUUUAUCCAAGGAUUAGAUUUGGAAAUCCAAGAUGCCCUUGCCGCAGCACAGGUUGAAACAUUUAGUGACGCUCUUGAAAAAGCGCAAAGGGUAGAAAGUACAAAAUCUCAACUGAGAGCUUUUCAAGCAAGGAAAAGAGAUUGCAUCUGAUAGUACACCAGGAGGAAAUGAACCACCACCCAAAGUUAGAAAAGAGUGGAUGGAUAGUGGUAGACUAUCACUUCCUGCACCACUCAUGAUAAAGAACCAAAAGGAACUAUGUCAGCACGAGGGACUUCAGUAGGACAAACACGACCAAAGAAAACCUCGCAAGUAAGUCAGGUCGCAACACCUCGUCCGACUUGUGGAUAUUGUGGAAGGACGAAUCACACUGAAGAAAACUGUUGGCUAAAGGGACAAAAGUGUAUGGGGUGUGGAAGUACCAACCAUAAAGUUCAUGACUGUCCAAGGAGGUAUCCGCGAGAAACUACUUCAACAAGGAAAUGGAACUGUUCCUCGACAAGUCAAUGGAAGGAGAAACCGACCAGUGACAUCUGAAAGAACGCAUGACAUGAAACACACACGCGGUUCAGAGUUGUCCGAGAUUACAGAAGGUAUGAAUUUCGAGGACGAAAUUCUUUUAAGGAGGGGAGGUUGUGAGGACUCGCAAAAUUUACUUAUUUAAUCUCCUAUUUCUAGCUUAUUUAAUUAUUUAUUUGGCCUUUUGCUCCGAAUAUUAUUUUCUAAGUUCUUGAGAUCUAAUUACAUGAAAAUAUAGUUUCAUUAUAUUUUUAAAAUGACUUGUUUCAAAAAUUAAUUUUCGGAAGCUCGUUUUGUAAAAAUAGUGAACACGUCUUUGGAAAUCUUGAUCGAUUGAGAGUACAAUAGGUUUGAAAUAUUGGAGACAUGUACAAUGGACCUAAAAUAGGCAUUUUAAUGUUUAAAUACUCAAGUGAUGGUUAGUAGUACGGACGUUAUAAGAAUUUCUCGGAGGUUUCGCGUUAUAGCGAUAAAAUUGACGGUACACGUUUCCACACGCGUGACUUUAUUUGAGGGACUUUAGACCCUUAUUUCGGGAUAAUUAAGAGUGAAUAUUAUCUACAUGAAUAUAAGUGCAUUAGAGGUUUAGUGCACUAGUGAACCAAACGCGCGAGAAAUCGAGCCGAAACGCGCCCAAACGCACCAAACGCACCCUAGUGAGAGUUGACUUUGGGGAUGAUUUUUGCACCACACAUUGUGUCUUCCUUAAGAAGCUAAAUUUAGACCAAACACUCUCUCUCCUAGUCUCUCUCUUGGCCGAAUUCUCUGCAGCAAAAACACAACACAAAGUUGCCAUUUUCAUCCUCAAUUCUUGCACAAAAACUUCAUGGAUUCACACCAAAUUUGAACUACACUUAGCUUGUCACGUGGAGAGAUCAUCUAGCUAGAAAAAGGAGGAGUUUCUCACGGUUUCUUGGAGCAUCUUGAGGACCGAAAUUUCUGGUUUAAAGCAACAAGGAGGUAUAACCUCAUCCUACACCUUAAGCUUGGUUUAUGAUGGUAGAAAUGCAUCCUUAAGCUAUUGCAUGUGUAUGGGUAUCUUGAUAUUGUUGGAAAAAUGUGAAAGUGGGCUCUAUGGAUUCCCACACUUGGGUUGUUGCUGAUUUGAUGAUUGAUGGUGGAUAUAUUGUUGGUUUAGUGGUUAAAAUGAUGGAUUAAUGGUGUGUAAUUGACAGAAAUUUCAUUGGGUGCAAGAGGCAAAAGUUUCCGAUUUUACCCCUGCCUUGUCCGACCACUUUUGUGCAAAAUUUUGAAGUUCUAAUGGCUUGAUUAUGUUGUUUACAUGUUAUUGUGAGUGUGUACAAAAUUUCAUUGAAAAAUAACAUGAUUUGGUUGGUCAAAUGAAUUGAUUUCGAAAGUUAGCAAAUCUGGAAAAUGAUUCCCGUAUUGACCAGGCAGUCAUUUUGUAUCGGCUAUAACUCUUUACUCCGAUGUCGAAAUCAAGUGCCGUUUGCGGCAUUGGAAACUAGACAUUCCCAGCUUUCCAUUGGUACUAAAUUCGCGUUCUGGUUCCACUUGAGUGAGCCACACCAUUCGUUUGAAAAUCACUGCCCUGUUUCGUUGCUCUCCAGGAGACAGGACAGAAAUUUCUUCUUGAUGCUCAAAAACGAGCUGUUUGUGGAUAGAAUUUGGAAAUGGUUUCUUCUGAGAAAAUUCAGCUUUAUGAGAGAGAUUUCUAACGCCAUCAACACGCUCAAUUCCAAGUUGAAUUGAGUGAGUUGUGGCCAUAUUUCGAAACUGAUGCAGUGAGUAAAAAUCCUCUUUUGACUAGUUAAAUGGCCUAGCUUGAUUUGGGACUUGUUGUUUUGGAAAAUUUGAUGUCCAACAUCUACCAAACUUUAUAUUAGAUGUUUCUUGGACUUUGUUUUACAAAUAAACCAGAUUUGGGUUGGUUGCUUUGGACAAAAUAUUUAAAAAGGAAAGAAGAGCUAGAAGACAGUUUUACCUUGGGAAAUUUCCUGAACUUUGAUGGUUUAGUUAACUACCUUCCCGUGUGAAUUUUCAAAUGAAAUUUGGUAGAAGAGUAAUCCUCAUAUGGAGGUUUAAUUGUACAAAAUUUGGUAAUAUUCUAAGACCAUUUUGAUAUGCAAAUGAUGUCACAAAAUUCGCUCAUCGAAUCUGGAAAACUUUUGUUUUCUCUUAGCCGAAUGGCAAAUCUGAUUUGGAGAGUUUUAUUUCGAAAAUUUGGAUGUCAAUGGUCUUUAAAUUGCUCAGUGAAUGUUUAUGAACUCCUGGUUUCAAUAAUGGAGAGAUUUGGAACUGAUUUCAUGGUACAAAAAGUUUGUAAACAAAAGAAAAGUGAGAAGGUAGUUUAGCCUUGAAACUCUUCAUAAACUUUGGUUGUUUUAAUGACUACCUUACCGUGUGAGUUUUUGUAUGAACUUGUAGAAAUGUUGUUCACAUAUGGAAGAUUUAGUGUACCAAGUUUUAUGUAUUUCCACUGCCAACUUGAUGACCAAAUGAUAUUUCAAAUCUAGUUUUAAACCUGGAAAAUAGCCCAACAGUCUUAACUUUUUCAGCAACUUGGAGGUACUAUAUCUUGGUGCUCGAAACUCCGUUUCUCGUUCCGCUUGUUUUGUUAUACUCUUGGAUUGCAACACUAAUUGAUUUCCAAAUUUCAAAGGUUAGUUCAAAACAAGUGAUUUUGCCGAAUUUCUAAAGUUGGCCAAAAACCAACUUAAAUCUGUCUUGGUAAUUCAAGUUACCAACUUUGAGCCAAAAUUUGAGUGCCUUUCACUUACAUUCGUGGAAAAGUGUCUUCUAAGAACUUUUAGUACUUUGAAAGAGGAUUCCAACAGUAAAGUUUUCCAAUUUUGGACUUGUGGAGAGUGAAAUAUGAUUUUUCAAAUAUUACUUGUUAAAUCUGGAAUUUUUUAACUUAAAGGAAACUAAAGGUUUCAAACCCUCCAUUUUCCUUCAAUAUCAUUUGAUCGUUUUACAUUUGAUUUUAAAGAUGGAAAUCAGAUUUGUCUUGUAUUUUAAAACCCACUUUUGAACCUCGAGUUACACGAACUCUUAGACUUGCCUCUGCGUUAAUUUCUUAGAUUGUACUAGUGUACAAUUUUCCUCGAUAAUUAGAAUGAUUUUGAGUGGUAGUUGAUUAUUGUUGCUCAGGCACUCGAGGGAAUCUCCCAGAGGAACUCGGAGCGGACACCUAAAACGCUUGUUUGAGAACUACUCGCUUGUUUUGACUAGGUGAGUGUUCCAUAUAGGAAUACGUAAUUGGAAUAAGUCUAUGACAUGCUUAACCCAUGGUCAUUAAGUAUUUACCACACUCAUGCAUAUUUGAAUAAUGU
rnacentral:lncRNA from 1 species